rnacentral:sRNA from 1 species
AAGCAAAUGCUUGAUCAUAUGAGGUAUUAUUAAAUAUCUCUUCUUUUUUUUAAACCAGUUACAUCCCAGAAAAUAAUAUCUUAAUUCCUAUGACAAAAACUUAAAAAGUCCUAUCGGAUCUUAUUUCGGAAACACAAUCGGCUUUUAUCUAAAGAAUAUU